rnacentral:rRNA from 1 species
UAUCAAUAAGCGGAGGAAAAGAAACCAACAGGGAUUGCCCUAGUAACGGCGAGUGAAGCGGCAACAGCUCAAAUUUGAAAUCUGGCGUCUUCGGCGUCCGAGUUGUAAUUUGCAGAGGAUGCUUCUGAGUUGUCACCGGUUUAAGUUCCUUGGAACAGGACGUCAUAGAGGGUGAGAAUCCCGUGUGUGACCGGCCGACACUCUCCACGUAGCUCCUUCGACGAGUCGAGUUGUUUGGGAAUGCAGCUCUAAAUGGGAGGUAAAUUUCUUCUAAAGCUAAAUAUCUGCCAGAGACCGAUAGCGCACAAGUAGAGUGAUCGAAAGAUGAAAAGCACUUUGGAAAGAGAGUUAAAAAGCACGUGAAAUUGUUGAAAGGGAAGCGUUUGCAAUCAGACUUGUCUGCGGCGUUCAGCCGGUCUUUUGACCGGCCUACUCGUCGUAAGCAGGCCAGCAUCACUUGGGGCGGCGGGAUAAUUGCUCUGGAACGUAGCUCCCUCGGGAGUGUUAUAGCCAAAGCAGAUGCCGCCAGCCUCGAGUGAGGUCCGCGUUCGCUAGGAUGCUGGCGUAAUGGUUGUAAACGGCCCGUCUUGAAACACGGACCAAGGAGUCGAUCACCCACGCGAGUGUUUGGGUGUAAAACCCUCACGCGUAAUGAAAGUGAACGGAGGUGGGAGCUUAGGCGCACCAUCGACCGAUCCUGAUGUCUUCGGAUGGAUUUGAGUAAGAGCGUGGUUGAUCGGACCCGAAAGAUGGUGAACUAUGCCUGAAUAGGGUGAAGCCAGAGGAAACUCUGGUGGAGGCUCGCAGCGGUUCUGACGUGCAAAUCGAUCGUCNAAUUUGGGUAUAGGGGCGAAAGACUAAUCGAACCAUCUAGUAGCUGGUUCCUGCCGAAGUUUNCCCUCAGGAA